rfam:Picea glauca, whole genome shotgun sequence.
AUGUACAUACCUAUAGUGAAAUUUUAUUGGAUCCCUUUAGAAAUCUACAGUUAAGCGCGCUUUGGCUAGAGUAGUACCAGGAUGGGUGAUCUCCCGGGAAGUCCUAGUGUUUUACAUC